rnacentral:lncRNA from 1 species
GGAGUAGGAGCUGACUAGAGAAGAAAUUGAUUUGUGCUCCUUUUCCAUUUUCUGCUCCAGCGUCCCAUUGAAGGAACCAUUUUCAAUGACACAAGCACGUCCAGGUAAAGCAGAUAAUGGCACCUGACCCACAGCAUAUUCAUUUCCAGUUUCCAACAAUAUUGACAUUCUUUUUUCAUUCUCGUUGUUUGACAAGCCAAAUGAUUCAUAUGUUUUGUCGUGGCCAUAUUCGUCCAUCUCAAUACAUUGAACUUCUUUAAAGAUAUCAUCAGAAUCUUUUUCAGUUCCUACCGGAAGUUCCUCUCUCCCCUGACUCGGGUUGGAAGUAUCAUCAGACGAUGAGUGAUACUCACCAUCUUCUGAAAGCAGUACACCUGAUGUCCCAUCACUCCUGAUGUCUCCGCUAUAAGACCGAAUUCUGUUGAGGCUCCC